CAGCCGCCGCGGGAAUACGAAGGGGGCUAGCGUUGUUCGGAUUUACUGGGCGUAAAGCGCACGUAGGCGGAUCGAUCAGUCAGGGGUGAAAUCCCAGAGCUCAACUCUGGAACUGCCUUUGAUACUGUCGAUCUGGAGUAUGGAAGAGGUGAGUGGAAUUCCGAGUGUAGAGGUGAAAUUCGUAGAUAUUCGGAGGAACACCAGUGGCGAAGGCGGCUCACUGGUCCAUUACUGACGCUGAGGUGCGAAAGCGUGGGGAGCAAACAGGAUUAGAUACCCGAGUAGUCCCUGUCUCUUAUAC
rnacentral:rRNA from 1 species